GCGGGUGUGGCGGAAUUGGCAGACGCACUAGACUUAGGAUCUAGCGGGAAACCGUGGGGGUUCGACUCCCUUCACCCGCACCA
rnacentral:tRNA from 2 species